rnacentral:rRNA from 1 species
AACGAACGCUGGCGGCAUGCCUAACACAUGCAAGUCGAACGAUGCCUUCGGGCAUAGUGGCGCACGGGUGCGUAACGCGGGGGAAUCUGCCUUUCGGUUCGGAAUAACUCAGGGAAACUUGAGCUAAUACCGGAUAACGUCGCAAGACCAAAGAUUUAUCACGGAAAGAUGAGCCCGCGUAGGAUUAGCUAGUUGGUGAGGUAAAGGCUCACCAAGGCGACGAUCCUUAGCUGGUCUGAGAGGAUGAUCAGCCACACUGGGACUGAGACACGGCCUAGACUCCUACGCGAGGCAGCAGUGGAGAAUAUUAGACGCUGGGCGAAAGCCUGAUACAGCCAUGCCGGGUGAGUGGUGCAGGCCUUAGGGUUGUAAAGCUGUUUUACCCGGGAAGAUAAUGACGGUACCGGGAGAAUAAGCCCCGGCUAACUACGUG